UGGGGAAUAUUGCACAAUGGGCGCAAGCCUGAUGCAGCCAUGCCGCGUGUAUGAAGAAGGCCUUCGGGUUGUAAAGUACUUUCAGCGGGGAGGAAGGGAGUAAAGUUAAUACCUUUGCUCAUUGACGUUACCCGCAGAAGAAGCACCGGCUAACUCCGUGCCAGCAGCCGCGGUAAUACGGAGGGUGCAAGCGUUAAUCGGAAUUACUGGGCGUAAAGCGCACGCAGGCGGUCUGUCAAGUCGGAUGUGAGAUCCCCGGGCUCAACCUGGGAACUGCAUUCGAAACUGGCAGGCUAGAGUCUUGUAGAGGGGGGUAGAAUUCCAGGUGUAGCGGUGAAAUGCGUAGAGAUCUGGAGGAAUACCGGUGGCGAAGGCGGCCCCCUGGACAAAGACUGACGCUCAGGUGCGAAAGCGUGGGGAGCAAACAGG
rnacentral:rRNA from 1 species